CCUACGGGUGGCAGCAGUGGGGAAUAUUGCACAAUGGGGGAAACCCUGAUGCAGCGACGCCGCGGGAGUGAAGAAGUAAUUCGUUAUGUAAAGCUCUAUCAGCAGGGAAGAAAAUGACGGUACCUGAGUAAGAAGCCACGGCUAACUACGUGCCAGCAGCCGCGGUAAUACGUAGGGGGCAAGCGUAAUCCGGAUUUAGUGGGUGUAACGGGCGUGUAGGCGGGAGCGCAAGUCAGAUGUGAAAACUCAGGGCUCAACCCUGGGCCAGCAUUUGAAACUGUGUUUCUUGAGUGCUGGAGAGGCCAUCGGAAUUCCGUGUGUAGCGGUGAAAUGCGUAGAUAUACGGAGGAACACCAGUGGCGAAGGCGGAUUGCUGGACAGUAACUGACGCUGAGGCGCGAAAGCGUGGGGAGCAAACAGGAUUAGAUACCCCUGUAGUC
rnacentral:rRNA from 1 species